rnacentral:rRNA from 1 species
UACGUAGGGGGCUAGCGUUGUCCGGAAUCAUUGGGCGUAAAGCGCGCGUAGGCGGCCUGGUAAGUCCGCUGUGAAAGUCAAAGGCUCAACCUUUGAAUGUCAGCGGAUACUGCCAGGCUAGAGUCCGGAAGAGGCGAGUGGAAUUCCUGGUGUAGCGGUGGAAUGCGCAGAUAUCAGGAGGAACACCAACGGCGAAGGCAGCUCGCUGGGGACGGUACUG